UACGGAGGGGGCAAGCGUUGUUCGGAGUUACUGGGCGUAAAGCGCGCGUAGGCGGUGCGGUAAGUCAGGGGUUAAAGGCUGCAGCUCAACUGCAGUAAGGCCUUUGAUACUAUCGCGCUAGAGUACCAGAGAGGGUGGUGGAAUUCCCAGUGUAGAGGUGAAAUUCGUAGAUAUUGGGAGGAACACCAGAGGCGAAGGCGGCCACCUGGCUGAUAACUGACGCUGAGGUGCGAGAGCGUGGGGAGCAAACAGG
rnacentral:rRNA from 1 species